rnacentral:tRNA from 1 species
AUAUUUAGGUGUAUGGGCAUAUAAAUUUUUGAAAUUUAAGGAUUUAAUGUUAAAAUUAAAAAAUAUAGA